rnacentral:rRNA from 1 species
GUUUACAGCCAUACCUCCCUGAACAAUCCUGAUCCUGUCGGAUCUCAGAAGGUAAGCAGCGUCAGGCCUGAUUAGUACUUGGAUGGGAGACCACCUAGGAAGAUCAUGGUGCUGUAGGAA